rnacentral:tRNA from 1 species
GCCGAAGUGGCGGAACAGGCAGACGCGACGGUCUCAAAAACCGUUGAGGGCAACCUCAUGUGGGUUCGAGUCCCACCUUCGGCACCU